rnacentral:rRNA from 1 species
CAGUCGCCACGGUAAUACGAAGGGGGCUAGCGUUGUUCGGAUUCACUGGGCGUAAAGCGCACGUAGGCGGAUCGAUCAGUCAGGGGUGAAAUCCCAGAGCUCAACUCUGGAACUGCCUUUGAUACUGUCGAUCUGGAGUAUGGAAGAGGUGAGUGGAAUUCCGAGUGUAGAGGUGAAAUUCGUAGAUAUUCGGAGGAACACCAGUGGCGAAGGCGGCUCACUGGUCCAUUACUGACGCUGAGGUGCGAAAGCGUGGGGAGCAAACAGGAUUAGAUACCCCCGUAGUCCCUGUUUCUUAUAC